AAUUAGUUUUUUAAUUGAAAAAUAGAAUGAAUGAUAUUAUUUAAUUACUACUUAUUAAUUUACCAACCUUAAAUUUUUAUUUUUAGUUAAAAUACUAAAAUUUUUUUAUAAGACAAAAAGACCCUAUGAAGCUGUAAAAUAUAAGAUUACUAUUUAUAUUAAAAUAUUUUUAUUUUUUGGGGUAAAAGAUAAUAUAUUUAUUAAAAUGAAAAAAAAAUUUUUUAAUUAUUAUCCUUUUGGAAUAUUUAAUAAGCUCCUCUAGGGAUAACAGCAUUAUAUUUAUAAAAGUUCGUAUUAAACUAAAUGU
rnacentral:rRNA from 1 species